ACUUAUACCUUGCAGGGGAAAUACCAUGUCAUAAAAAUGGUUUUCCCAGGGGGAGGCUCAUCCAUUGCACUUUGGGUGUGCUGUUGAUCCCUGUGAUUUCCCUAAAUGGAGGUGGGAGGUGUAUAAUUUAUAUUAAUGAGGGGAUUACAUUUCUGAUUUCCCUGU
rnacentral:snRNA from 1 species